GGUUGGGCUCCGCGCAACGUUACCCUAUCAACCCCGCCAGGACCGGAAGGUAGCAACGGUACGUAGGCCCUAACGUGUGCCGCGGUCUCCCUGGCCCCC
rnacentral:SRP_RNA from 1 species